rnacentral:rRNA from 1 species
GGGUUGUGAGGUUAAGCGACUAAGCGUACACGGUGGAUGCCCUGGCAGUCAGAGGCGAUGAAGGACGUGCUAAUCUGCGAUAAGCGUCGGUAAGGUGAUAUGAACCGUUAUAACCGGCGAUUUCCGAAUGGGGAAACCCAGUGUGUUUCGACACACUAUCAUUAACUGAAUCCAUAGGUUAAUGAGGCGAACCGGGGGAACUGAAACAUCUAAGUACCCCGAGGAAAAGAAAUCAACCGAGAUUCCCCCAGUAGCGGCGAGCGAACGGGGAGCAGCCCAGAGCCUGAAUCAGUGUGUGUGUUAGUGGAAGCGUCUGGAAAGGCGCGCGAUACAGGGUGACAGCCCCGUACACAAAAAUGCACAUGCUGUGAGCUCGAUGAGUAGGGCGGGACACGUGGUAUCCUGUCUGAAUAUGGGGGGACCAUCCUCCAAGGCUAAAUACUCCUGACUGACCGAUAGUGAACCAGUACCGUGAGGGAAAGGCGAAAAGAACCCCGGCGAGGGGAGUGAAAAAGAACCUGAAACCGUGUACGUACAAGCAGUGGGAGCCUCUUUAUGGGGUGACUGCGUACCUUUUGUAUAAUGGGUCAGCGACUUAUAUUCUGUAGCAAGGUUAACCGAAUAGGGGAGCCGAAGGGAAACCGAGUCUUAACUGGGCGUUAAGUUGCAGGGUAUAGACCCGAAACCCGGUGAUCUAGCCAUGGGCAGGUUGAAGGUUGGGUAACACUAACUGGAGGACCGAACCGACUAAUGUUGAAAAAUUAGCGGAUGACUUGUGGCUGGGGGUGAAAGGCCAAUCAAACCGGGAGAUAGCUGGUUCUCCCCGAAAGCUAUUUAGGUAGCGCCUCGUGAAUUCAUCUCCGGGGGUAGAGCACUGUUUCGGCAAGGGGGUCAUCCCGACUUACCAACCCGAUGCAAACUGCGAAUACCGGAGAAUGUUAUCACGGGAGACACACGGCGGGUGCUAACGUCCGUCGUGAAGAGGGAAACAACCCAGACCGCCAGCUAAGGUCCCAAAGUCAUGGUUAAGUGGGAAACGAUGUGGGAAGGCCCAGACAGCCAGGAUGUUGGCUUAGAAGCAGCCAUCAUUUAAAGAAAGCGUAAUAGCUCACUGGUCGAGUCGGCCUGCGCGGAAGAUGUAACGGGGCUAAACCAUGCACCGAAGCUGCGGCAGCGACGCUUAUGCGUUGUUGGGUAGGGGAGCGUUCUGUAAGCCUGUGAAGGUGUGCUGUGAGGCAUGCUGGAGGUAUCAGAAGUGCGAAUGCUGACAUAAGUAACGAUAAAGCGGGUGAAAAGCCCGCUCGCCGGAAGACCAAGGGUUCCUGUCCAACGUUAAUCGGGGCAGGGUGAGUCGACCCCUAAGGCGAGGCCGAAAGGCGUAGUCGAUGGGAAACAGGUUAAUAUUCCUGUACUUGGUGUUACUGCGAAGGGGGGACGGAGAAGGCUAUGUUGGCCGGGCGACGGUUGUCCCGGUUUAAGCGUGUAGGCUGGUUUUCCAGGCAAAUCCGGAAAAUCAAGGCUGAGGCGUGAUGACGAGGCACUACGGUGCUGAAGCAACAAAUGCCCUGCUUCCAGGAAAAGCCUCUAAGCAUCAGGUAACAUCAAAUCGUACCCCAAACCGACACAGGUGGUCAGGUAGAGAAUACCAAGGCGCUUGAGAGAACUCGGGUGAAGGAACUAGGCAAAAUGGUGCCGUAACUUCGGGAGAAGGCACGCUGAUAUGUAGGUGAGGUCCCUCGCGGAUGGAGCUGAAAUCAGUCGAAGAUACCAGCUGGCUGCAACUGUUUAUUAAAAACACAGCACUGUGCAAACACGAAAGUGGACGUAUACGGUGUGACGCCUGCCCGGUGCCGGAAGGUUAAUUGAUGGGGUUAGCGGUAACGCGAAGCUCUUGAUCGAAGCCCCGGUAAACGGCGGCCGUAACUAUAACGGUCCUAAGGUAGCGAAAUUCCUUGUCGGGUAAGUUCCGACCUGCACGAAUGGCGUAAUGAUGGCCAGGCUGUCUCCACCCGAGACUCAGUGAAAUUGAACUCGCUGUGAAGAUGCAGUGUACCCGCGGCAAGACGGAAAGACCCCGUGAACCUUUACUAUAGCUUGACACUGAACAUUGAGCCUUGAUGUGUAGGAUAGGUGGGAGGCUUUGAAGUGUGGACGCCAGUCUGCAUGGAGCCGACCUUGAAAUACCACCCUUUAAUGUUUGAUGUUCUAACGUUGACCCGUAAUCCGGGUUGCGGACAGUGUCUGGUGGGUAGUUUGACUGGGGCGGUCUCCUCCUAAAGAGUAACGGAGGAGCACGAAGGUUGGCUAAUCCUGGUCGGACAUCAGGAGGUUAGUGCAAUGGCAUAAGCCAGCUUGACUGCGAGCGUGACGGCGCGAGCAGGUGCGAAAGCAGGUCAUAGUGAUCCGGUGGUUCUGAAUGGAAGGGCCAUCGCUCAACGGAUAAAAGGUACUCCGGGGAUAACAGGCUGAUACCGCCCAAGAGUUCAUAUCGACGGCGGUGUUUGGCACCUCGAUGUCGGCUCAUCACAUCCUGGGGCUGAAGUAGGUCCCAAGGGUAUGGCUGUUCGCCAUUUAAAGUGGUACGCGAGCUGGGUUUAGAACGUCGUGAGACAGUUCGGUCCCUAUCUGCCGUGGGCGCUGGAGAACUGAGGGGGGCUGCUCCUAGUACGAGAGGACCGGAGUGGACGCAUCACUGGUGUUCGGGUUGUCAUGCCAAUGGCACUGCCCGGUAGCUAAAUGCGGAAGAGAUAAGUGCUGAAAGCAUCUAAGCACGAAACUUGCCCCGAGAUGAGUUCUCCCUGACUCCUUGAGAGUCCUGAAGGAACGUUGAAGACGACGACGUUGAUAGGCCGGGUGUGUAAGCGCAGCGAUGCGUUGAGCUAACCGGUACUAAUGAACCGUGAGGCUUAACCUUACAACGCCGAAGGUGUUU